GUGGGGAAUAUUGGGCAAUGGGCGAAAGCCUGAUCCAGCAAUGCCGCGUGCAGGAAGAAGGCCUUCGGGUUGUAAACUGCUUUUGUACGGAACGAAACGGUCCUGGCUAAUACCUGGGGCUAAUGACGGUACCGUAAGAAUAAGCACCGGCUAACUACGUGCCAGCAGCCGCGGUAAUACGUAGGGUGCGAGCGUUAAUCGGAAUUACUGGGCGUAAAGCGUGCGCAGGCGGUUUUGUAAGACAGGCGUGAAAUCCCCGGGCUCAACCUGGGAAUGGCGCUUGUGACUGCAAGGCUGGAGUGCGGAAGAGGGGGAUGGAAUUCCGCGUGUAGCAGUGAAAUGCGUAGAUAUGCGGAGGAACACCGAUGGCGAAGGCAAUCCCCUGGGCCUGCACUGACGCUCAUGCACGAAAGCGUGGGGAGCAAACAGGAUUAGAAACCCGUGUAGUCC
rnacentral:rRNA from 1 species